AUCCCAGAUGAUGUUUGUUUUGUGAUUAUCUGAUUCAUGGGAGGCAAAUAACAAAAUGGGAGUUCGCUGAUGGCACUUCCUCCUUUGGAAUUGUUUUAAUAGUAGCUCACCAUACAUAU